rnacentral:lncRNA from 1 species
AGUUAAUCUAUUGGAGCUGAAUUACAUUGCCUUUUAUUUUCUUAAGUGUAAAAAGUACUUUACAUAUUAAAUUUAGAGUAAACAUCCUGUCUGAUGUUGCGUAUGAACAGAUCUGUUUCCUUGAUCCUGUUUCAUUCUGACCCUCUGCUAAGCAUCUGAUCCAUGCAAUCUGCAUUCAACUAUGGAACCAAAGACAGCAGCACUGUCCAGCCCCUGUCCUGGUCAUCAACGUUUGCCAGAGGAAUUGAAUGAACUAAAUACAGAGUUUUGUGAUGAAAGUGUAACAUACUCCGAACUCAAACUUCGUGAUUCUUCAAAUAUUCAGAAGAGAAAACUAACUAGGAUUUGGAAAGCAAAAGAGUCUCCAUGGUGCAUUGCUACAGUGAUAUUUGCCUUGCUUUAUUUAAUUGCUCUUGCACUAGCUGCAUUUAUGAUAGCUAAGGUUAAUUGUCUAGAAGAAAUUCUGAAUACAUAUGAAAACAAUACGUCAAAUGUGCCUGGACGCUGCAACACAAUAUAGCAAAACCGAG